AGCGGAGCUACCUUCAGUUCGCUGCCCUUCUUGGCGCUGGAGGGUGUGAUGUCCACGGGCGACUGACGAUGUCCCGACGCCUGUGGGUACUCCUUGGCCCAGUGGGCAGGUCCUGAAAUAGGAACAUUGAAUGCGGCGGAUCGUUGGGCAAAUGGAAAAACGCACGAUAUAUUUGAAUUAAAAUAUAAAUUGGCGAACGUGCGAGCGGAACAUAAAGAUUUUUUAUUAUAUGACUAAAGCUGUAGAUGGAUAGCAUUUAACCAGAUCACAUACCUCGAACUUCAUCUUAAUAUGCAUGGUGGAGGCGAUCCCAGCGUCGAUUAAAUCAAUGGUUCGCAACUGGCAUUGGUAAUAGAUUUAUAUUGUAUAUUUGAAAUAUAUAUAUAUAUUUAUAUAGAUUUUGAUUUAAAUUAACACUAGCAAUAUACAGGCUGCGCACAAUGCUGGUUUAAUCCAUUAAUCUACGCUACACACUAAUCGAUAGUGGGUGAAUGUUAGAGUGUGGUUACACCGGGGAAACAAAAUCCAAAUUCGUAACUGAAGGAAACUAUACACACGCACACGUUAAAGCCUUACAUAGCAUACCCGGGGGUAUGUAUACAUAUACAUAUAUAUAUAUAUAUAUAUAUAUAAAAACAACAACAUUUCUCGUUAAACCUAGUAAACAUUACAUUCUGACUAUGUAUUGUUUAUAAAUAUAAUAAAAAUAUAUAUACUUGUAUGCAUGAUUAAGUGCCAACAUAACAACAAAGCCGAGGGAACCAGAGGGCGCACUAUGAACUACGAUUUGAGGGGAUUUCGG